UUUAUUUAUUUUUUUAUGUUAAUUUUUUCGUGAACGCACUUACAAUAAUAUUUUGUAUCGCAGAAUCGCUUCCAAUCAAUGGUGUUAUUUUUUUACAAUUUCAUUUUGCAACGAAUUAAAUGAUUAUACAAACAUUGAUAUAAGUUAAUAUUAUUACUAAAAAUUAUACAAUUUAUAUUGGUUGGCAAGCAGAAUUUGAGAUUUACCAUAUCUUCGAAAAAUGAUUCAAGGCUCUUCUUAUUUCUUGAACAUUCUAGGAUUACAUGAUUCAUAUCACCAACUUCUCCGAAUAGAAAAUAUGAGUUUUCAUCCAGUCCUAUUUUAUAUUUGUACAAAGGAAUCAGGAGUCAUAGCAUAAUUAGAUCUUAUUCUGUUUAUUGUAACAAUGAAGUUUCGUUUUGUUAAUCCCAAGAAACCAGCGUUUCGAUGGUAUGUUAUUUUGGUGGCCGACAUAGUUAAGCCCUGUCGUUAAACUCCCGUUUUUGGUGGUGAACAUAUCCAUCUAUUAUUAGGGAAUAAAAACAUUUCUAAAAACUGUUCAGAACUGUUCAAAAGAAACUGAUAUACCGUAUAUAGCACAUUCCAACAAUUGUUUUAGGUUAUACUAUAUUCUUUACAGUAUUUUUAAUUUCAUUGUAGUACCACUAGUACCAGAAACUAGAAACUACAAUAAUGAACAUCAACAGCCGAUUAGGAGAAAUGACCAAAACGAGGAAAGUAGUGACCUUAUAGAAAAACAACUCCAAAGUGUCGGACUAGGCAAAAAUCCUAAUUUUAAACCCAAUUUUGACAUAAAUCAUUUAGUUCAGCAAAACAGAGUUGGCCAAAAGGUAGAGAAGGAAGGUCUUGUCGAAAAACCGAUAUUGGAGAAAAAGAUCAAAAGAGAUUUAAACGCGGAUACUUCAAAAAACUACGAAAAACUUGUUGAAGCUGUAAGAAAAGAAAGAAUCAAACGGGAAGCUAAGAGAAGAAUAGCAACAUCAUUUGGUAAACUUGAUAUGACUGACUACGAGGGUAAAUCAUCAAAUAAAGCAUUUAAGGAUGUGUUCGAUACACCGUUGGUUUAUGUAUUAUAAUUUUUACACUUAUUUAAAUAUUUUAUAGUUCUAUCAAGAUUAUAAUUUUAAAUAUCAUAAAAAUAUAUAUACGUAGUUACUUUCA
rnacentral:lncRNA from 1 species